AGUGAACGCUGGCGGUAGGCCUAACACAUGCAAGUCGAACGGCAGCACAGUAAGAGCUUGCUCUUACGGGUGGCGAGUGGCGGACGGGUGAGGAAUACAUCGGAAUCUACUUUUUCGUGGGGGAUAACGUAGGGAAACUUACGCUACUACCGCAUACGACCUACGGGUGAAAGCAGGGGAUCUUCGGACCUUGCGCGAUUGAAUGAGCCGAUGUCGGAUUAGCUAGUUGGCGGGGUAAAGGCCCACCAAGGCGACGAUCCGUAGCUGGUCUGAGAGGAUGAUCAGCCACACUGGAACGGAGACACGGUCCAGACUCCUACGGGAGGCAGCAGUGGGGAAUAUUGGACAAUGGGCGAAAGCCUGAUCCAGCCAUACCGCGUGGGUGAAGAAGGCCUUCGGGUUGUAAAGCCCUUUUGUUGGGAAAGAAAAGAAGCAGGUUAAUACCCCGCUGUUCUGACGGUACCCAAAGAAUAAGCACCGGCUAACUUCGUG
rnacentral:rRNA from 1 species